rnacentral:lncRNA from 1 species
GUGCCCAGUGCGUGCAGAUCAUGAAGAUGGGAUUUCAUAAGGUCUUCCGCACAAGUGGAAUGUAAGUUCAUUUGGAAAAGGGUCAAUCUCAUAAGACUUGGAGAUGCAGGAGGCUGAUACCGUCAAGCCAAAAUGAAAGCAGCAGAAUGGAACUGGCUUGCCAGGGCUCUGAUCAGGAGGAUGUCUCAUCACAGAGACAAAAAUCCCCAUUGUAUUGUUUUUUUUUGUAGGGCUGCAGACUGCGUAACCACACCAAGCCACAUGAAGCAGAAGUGUUUUUUUGGAGGAGUGCCUAUGGUUGCAGAGAUGGAGAAGUCUCAAAUUAGAUGUUGGGCCAGACACUAAAACGCUGUCUACUAUCUGUCUAUCUAGUCUUAUUAGUCAGGCACAAUGAUGUGUUAUUAAGCUACAAAGAGGUGUUUGAUAUGGUAACACAGUUGCACAGCCCCUGGUAAACCAGACCAAGAUUGUUGGCAGGGCUCAAAUCCUUCUGCUGGCAUUUUACUGUACUUUCUCAAUAUGUAUCAAGAGAGGGAUUUUACACUCUCUGAGCUUCAUAACUACGCAUCUGACUGAUGAGAUUUAUGAACCAAAGAGAUCACACUGAGUAAGCUCCUAGGCCAGUGUACUUGUUAAUAUUACAGGACAAUUUGUUUAAAAAAAAAAUAAUCAAUUUGAAAGUUCCAUGUUUUCAAUAUAAGACAGAGAAGAUAAUAAUUUCUUAAAUCAGUUGAAAAUUAACUUGAAAGUUCUUGAGCAUUGUCUGAAGGGAAGAAUAAUGAAUAUUACCAAAUGAUGUAUUCAGAACAUUAUUCCUUAGCUAUUGAAACAAACUGCCUUUUUUUCCCUAACAAUUUUGAAGCUAUAUGUGUAUUAGUCUGUAUGCAGUAUCACAUUAUUGUAGCUAUGGUUAAACUUAAUAAGACUCAAAUUAACAUUUUUAGGAAGGAAGAAUAUUCCAUCAAAUUUUAAGGAAGAAGAAAGUAAGGUUGAAAGCAUAACUCCCCGAAUUUGAUCUUAUUUUGACUACAAUAUUUUUCUAUUUGUGUAGUACUUACAAUUUUUUAAGCAGUAAAUAGGAAUGUGAAUAUGGAGAAGUAAUUUUUUGUCCCUGGCUAUUACGAAUAAAA